GGGCCGGUAACUCAGCCUGGAAUGAGUGCCUCGCUUGCAACGAGGAUGUCGCGGGAUCGAAGCCCGCCCGAGUCCACCA
rnacentral:tRNA from 1 species